UAGAGACCCCCUCCCCCCAAUCUCAUUCGUCUCUAACCUCCAGACCCGAUUAAUCCCUAGCCCUAGCCGCCACCCUUUUCCCUCGUCGUAAUCCCGGCGGCCCCAUCUUCGAUGGCCACCAAAAUAACACCACAGCUCUGUCUUGACCUCUUCUCUCCAAAUCCGCACUCCCCUUCCUUCGAAUCUUGGCCAGGCUUCUCGAAUCUUAAAUCAAAGAAGUCCGCCUGACCCUAGUUUAUGCGUUUAACCCCCAAAUCAACACCAAACAGCCACCGGACCACCCUCACACCAAAAACAUUAUCAGCUUCCUUCGAAUCCCCCUCAAAAUGUUAGAAUUUCAAAUUUGAACCCUAAGUUCGUUAGGGCAAAGAGGUUUGUGAGGGGUGUUUUCAUCUGGACUAGACCUUAGCAUUGGGUUUUCACAUGAAAACCUGAGUUUAAUGUCUAACCCGGUCGAAAACCAAAGGAUCCGUUGAAAACUUGUUUGAGUCCGGCCUGAAACUCUGAGGUAUUUCUUUCUUUACUUUUUUUCUUUGUUAGUAUUUAUCUGAUUAAUUUUUUCAGUGUAAUCCAGCAUUGUGAUAAAUUAUUUUUUCCUCCUCUUUCGGACCUUUUUCUGGUCCAAUUAUUCUCUGUUGAUUAGCGUUGUUGAGUCGAUUAAGUAGUUUCAUUGAUUAGUCCGUCCAUGGUUAUAAUUUAAUAGCUACCGUCAGUUUAUUUGAUGUCGAUUAAGUUUAAAGUUAAUUCCCCUUAGGACUCCUACAUUUGUGUUUAAGGUUAAUUUAGAACUGUGAUUCAUGCCCAAUAUAGUUGGUUUAUUCCUCUGUAUUUGGACCAGUCAUGGGUCAAAAUUUGACCUUAGCAGUGCAAUAUGAAUCUUGUUCUGAACCAUUGUUCUUUUCCUUAAAUGCUAUAUGUGUGCUAGCUUGAAUUGUUGAUUGAGUUUGUUUAGGAGAAUUUGUUAUAACUGAUGGGGGCAGUUUGAAUUGGGGUAAAAUAGUAGUUUCAGUGGAUUUCAUGAGUAAUUUGGACCUGAAGGUUGAAAUGAUUUAGUGGUCUGGCAGUAAAGUGCGUAUAGACCAUUGAACCAAUGUAUUUGUUUAAUAAAAGUGGGAUGGGAAUAAGGAAUAGCAUGAAGAAGUAAUUAAAAUAUGUAUUACCCAUGACCCUUAAAAUAAACAAAUGAGAUUAGACACCUAGUAAUGGGUUGUCAGGGAAUAACAUGGGAGGGAAUGUUAAUUAAUGAGGCUAAGUGCUCCGAAAGGGCUGAGGUUAUAAAUACAGAGAGUAUUGUUAAGGGAGAUGGGGGAUCUUGGAAAUCAUAAGGGUUCAGUAAUUGAGAGCUAAAAAAAACUGGUUGGUAUCUGCUGUUGCUGUGUUACUACUGCUGACUGCUCCUUCUCUUCCUUGUAUUUUCAUUAUCCAGGUACACUCUGAAAUCAUGUACUGAUAUGAACCUGAAGUUGGAGAUAAAUGAAAUGUUGCCAAGUUUCCUAUUGAAUUCCCUGAUGUUCAGUAGAAUUCAUUAGCCUGUAAUUGAUUAAUAACUGGACUGCAUAUGUUCUCAUGUGUCCUCUAGCCCCUUAGUAAUUUCUGCAAUACGACUGGAAUGUAUAAACUAUGGUUUCUCAUGUUUAUGAAAGUUAAAUGCUUAAUUGAUUCCAGUAGUGUGUUUCAGUGGGUUAGCUCAGUAUUGCUGUUACGAAAUUGCAAGUUAUGUGAGCAGAGUCAUGUUAAUUUAAUAAGGUUAGUAACUAGUGUUAGUUCUCAUUAUUAGUUAUUAAUGUUAGCCUAAUGUCAGUUCUUAGGCACUGAUGUAUUUUCAACAAUUGGGAAAGAGGAGGUCAAAAAUGGCUUUGUAUCACACAUAGUUAAUUUCAAUAGUCUAAUUAUUUAAUAAUGUUAGUUUAAGUUAGUUCGAAAAUAGCCAGGUGGCUUUAGUAAUAUUAUCACCAAACUCGUAAUUGUUUCUAUACCAUAUAGCAAACCUUAUUACCUCCCAUGUUUAAGGUUUGUUUUAUUACAUUUAAGCAUACCAAAUUUCAAUUUAUGUACCAUAAUUCAAAUUAAGGGUAUAAUUAUUGCUUUGUUAAGAAUAGAAUUCUAUUUGGAGUGAAUAUAUAUCUUAUAGAGAGUUUUACUUCGAGGCUAAGUCAAUUUUCUUCCUAUAAAUAGAGUGGUCUUACUCCAUUGUAAAUAACCCCAAAAUUCAAUAAGAAUUUUCUCUCUU
rnacentral:lncRNA from 1 species